rnacentral:rRNA from 1 species
UACGGAGGGUGCAAGCGUUAUCCGGAUUCACUGGGUUUAAAGGGUGCGUAGGCGGGCAGGUAAGUCCGUGGUGAAAUCCCCGAGCUUAACUCGGGAACUGCCAUGGAUACUAUUUGUCUUGAAUAUUGUGGAGGUAAGCGGAAUAUGUCAUGUAGCGGUGAAAUGCUUAGAUAUGACAUAGAACACCAAUUGCGAAGGCAGCUUGCUACACAGUUAUUGACGCUGAGGCACGAAAGCGUGGGGAUCAAACAGG